GAUGAACGCUGACAGAAUGCUUAACACAUGCAAGUCUUUGGCGAAGCUGUGCUUGCACAGCCUAGCCAAGGCGGACGGGUGAGUAACGCGUAAGGAACUUGCCCUGCAGUCAGGGAUAACAGACGGAAACGACUGAUAAGACCUGGUAAAGUCAGGCGGACUCAUGUCCAGCCUGAUGAAAAGAGAUGCUGCAGGAGAGCCUUGCGUCCUAUUAGCUUGUUGGUGGGGUAACGGCCCACCAAGGCGAUGAUAGGUAGCCGGCCUGAGAGGGUGGACGGCCACAAGUGGACUGAGAUACGGCCCUUACUCCUACGGGAGGCAGCAGUGGGGAAUAUUGGACAAUGGGGGCAACCCUGAUCCAGCAAUUCUGUGUGCACGAUGAAGGUUUUCGGAUUGUAAAGUGCUUUCAGCAGGGAAGAAAAAAAUGACGGUACCUGCAGAAGAAGCGACGGCUAAAUACGUG
rnacentral:rRNA from 1 species